rnacentral:misc_RNA from 1 species
UGGGUCUUCCUUCCUCUUGUGUUUCCUGCUCCGCACUAGUGCUUGCCAGUUGAUCCGCUUGAAAUGGAAUAGGGCUGAACACCAUUCCCAAAAUUUUUCCAUAAGUUUCCUUGGCUCGAUCGUCUUGAGAGGCUAUCAGCUGUAAUUAGAUCUCGGUUGAUUUCACAGAUAGUCACUGAACCAGGCUGUGGAAACGAAGGCAUAGUUAAGAGAGAAGGAAACACAGAUAGUUUCAGAUGAGAGGAGAGUUAUUGAGGUUGGGUUUAGGGUUUAUCUUCUCCCUAGAUUUUGGGCUAGUUCGUUCCCGCUAUUUUGUUUUGGAAAAUAGUUCAUGUCGCCCUUCAACUUUUGGUCAA